AACGCGAAGAACCUUACCUGGGCUAGACAACGGUGGACCGUCCUAGAAAUAGGAUUUUCCCUUCGGGGACUGCCGGUUCAGGUGCUGCAUGGCUGUCGUCAGCUCGUGCCGUGAGGUGUUGGGUUAAGUCCCGCAACGAGCGCAACCCUUGUCCUUAGUUGCCACCAUUCAGUUGGGCACUCUAGGGAGACUGCCGGCGUUAAGCCGGAGGAAGGUGGGGACGACGUCAAGUCAUCAUGGCCCUUAUGUCCAGGGCCACACACGUGCUACAAUGGGCGGUACAAAGGGUCGCAAACCCGCGAGGGGGAGCCAAUCCCAAAAAGCCGCUCUCAGUUCGGAUUGGAGUCUGCAACUCGACUCCAUGAAGUUGGAAUCGCUAGUAAUCGCGGAUCAGCACGCCGCGGUGAAUACGUUCCCGGGCCUUGUACACACCGGUAUCUC
rnacentral:rRNA from 1 species